GACGAACGCUGGCGGCGUGCUUAACACAUGCAAGUCGAGCGAUGAAAUUCCUUCGGGAAUGGAUUAGCGGCGGACGGGUGAGUAACACGUGGGUAACCUGCCUCAUAGAGGGGAAUAGCCUUCCGAAAGGAAGAUUAAUACCGCAUAAGAUUGUAGUACCACAUGGUACAGCAAUUAAAGGAGUAAUCCGCUAUGAGAUGGACCCGCGUCGCAUUAGCUAGUUGGUGAGGUAACGGCUCACCAAGGCGACGAUGCGUAGCCGACCUGAGAGGGUGAUCGGCCACAUUGGGACUGAGACACGGCCCAGACUCCUACGGGAGGCAGCAGUGGGGAAUAUUGCACAAUGGGGGAAACCCUGAUGCAGCAACGCCGCGUGAGUGAUGACGGUCUUCGGAUUGUAAAACUCUGUCUUCAGGGACGAUAAUGACGGUACCAGAGGAGGAAGCCACGGCUAACUACGUGCCAGCCGCCGCCGUAA
rnacentral:rRNA from 1 species